rnacentral:rRNA from 1 species
UACGUAGGGGGCAAGCGUUGUCCGGAUUUAUUGGGCGUAAAGAGCGUGUAGGCGGCCAUACAGGUCCGUUGAGAAAACUGGAGGCUUAACCUCCAGACGUCGAUGGAAACCGUAUGGCUAGAGUCCGGAAGAGGAGAGUGGAAUUCCUGGUGUAGCGGUGAAAUGCGCAGAUAUCAGGAAGAACACCCGUGGCGAAGGCGGCUCUCUGGGACGGUACUGACGCUGAGACGCGAAAGCGUGGGGAGCGAACAGG